UACGGGGGGGGCAAGCGUUGUUCGGAAUUACUGGGCGUAAAGGGCUCGUAGGCGGCCAACUAAGUCGGACGUGAAAUCCCUCGGCUUAACCUGGGAACUGCGCUCGAAACGGGAUGACUAGAGAUCGGGAGAGGAGAGUGGAAUUCCCAGUGUAGAGGUGAAAUUCGUAGAUAUCAGGAGGAACACCGGUGGCGAAGGCGGGUCUCUGGGCCGAUACUGACGCUGAGGAGCGAAAGCGUGGGGAGCGAACAGG
rnacentral:rRNA from 1 species